GCGCGGGUGGUGAAACUGGUAGACACGCAUGCUUGAGGGGCAUGUGGCCGAAAGGCUGUGCGAGUUCAAAUCUCGCCUCGCGCA
rnacentral:tRNA from 1 species